rnacentral:rRNA from 1 species
GCCAGCAGCUAGCUCUCUGCAACUCUCACAUAGUCGCCCACUGAAGCUAAGCAGGGCUGCGCCUGGUCAGUACCUGGAUGGGAGACCACAUGGGAAAGCUAGGUUGCUGCCGGAA